rnacentral:tRNA from 1 species
UUUUAGGGAGACCUACACCCCUCACAUCUUGAAAGCAAAAUGCAAAUAGAGAUUGAGUUGGUCUAACCUAGGUCGGUCGCAGACAUUUGCAAUUGUUGAAAGCUUUCAAACUAUGAUUUGGUUCGAUAUGGGCUAUUAGCUCAGGUGGUUAGAGCGCACCCCUGAUAAGGGUGAGGUCCCUGGUUCGAGUCCAGGAUGGCCCACCUGAAUCAAUUAAAAAUGUAAAAUGCAAAAUUAAAAAUUGAAUUAUCUUCAUUUUUAAUUUUUAAUUAUCAAUUUUUAAUUGUAUCUGGGGGUUUAGCUCAGUUGGUAGAGCGCCUGCUUUGCAAGCAGGAUGUCAGCGGUUCGAGUCCGCUAACCUCCACCUGUGGUGUAAAGCCAAAAAACACCG